rnacentral:rRNA from 1 species
GAAACAUCUAAGUACCCGGAGGAAGAGAAAACAACAGUGAUUCCGCAAGUAGUGGCGAGCGAACGCGGAACAGCCCAAACCGCAUCCUACGGGGUGCGGGGUAGUAGGACCUGCGUAAUUUUUGUAAUCUUAAAUCGAAGCUGUCUGGAAAGCAGCGCCACAGAAGGUGAAAGCCCUGUAGGUGUACCGAUUACAAAAAGGCGGGUAUCCUGAGUAGCGCGAGACCGGUGAAAUCUUGCGUGAACCAGCCGGCACCAUCCGGUAAGGCUAAAUACAUCUGCAUGACCGAUAGUGAACCAGUACCGUGAGGGAAAGGUGAAAAGCACCCCGACGAGGGGAGUGAAAUAGAACCUGAAACCGGAUGCCUACAAACAGAGGGAGCCUGAAAUGGUGACCUCGUACCUUUUGUAUAAUGGGUCUGCGACUUAGUCUGGCGAGCAAGCUUAAGGCGAUAGCUGUAGGCGAAGCGAAAGCGAGUCUGAACAGGGCGUUCAGUUCGUCGGAUUAGACCCGAAACCAGUCGAUCUAUCCAUGGCCAGGUUGAAAGCAAGGUAACACUUGCUGGAGGACCGAACCGGUGCCUGUUGAAAAAGUCUCGGAUGAGCUGUGGAUAGGGGUGAAAGGCCAACCAAGGCUGGAAAUAGCUGGUUCUCCGCGAAAUCUACUUAGGUAGAGCGUCACGA